rnacentral:rRNA from 1 species
UUGAUUACGUCCCUGCCCUUUGUACACACCGCCCGUCGCUGCCCGGGACUGAGCCAUUUCGAGAAACUUGGGGACUGCUGAUCCGGUGGCUUCGGCCUCCGCUUCGGUGGAAACCAAUUAAUCGCAGUGGCUUGAACCGGGCAAAAGUCGUAACAAGGUAGCUGUAGGUGAACCUGCUGCUGGAUCAUUACACGUACCGUGAUGGU